GCUGUGCCCUACAGUGACCUUAUUGGUGGCUGACUCCAGAGAGACAUCUCAUGAUUCUGAAUUGAGUUUCUCCAUCUCCAAAAUCAGGGACUUUGCGACUCUAAAGCCAAGAGGGAACUACACAUAUAUAGGUGCAAUUCCCUAAUAUUGGCCACAGAGUGAGGAUUGAGUUACUCCUGUGUGUCUUCAGAGGAAGAAUGCAUAUCACAGUCCUGCUCUGACAGCAUAGGUUCAGUGAAAUGAAGAACAAGUAUUCUAUUGUCGUGCACCAUGGAAAGGUAAAAAUAUAAUCAACACCUUUCUGUACUUGGCAGUCAGAGGAUUGGAAGGGUG
rnacentral:lncRNA from 1 species